rnacentral:rRNA from 1 species
UACGUAGGGUGCAAGCGUUUGUCCGGAAUUAUUGGGCGUAAAGAGCUCGUAGGCGGUCUGUCGCGUCUGCUGUGAAAACUCGGGGCUUAACCCCGGGCCUGCAGUGGGUACGGGCAGACUAGAGUGCGGUAGGGGAGACUGGAAUUCCUGGUGUAGCGGUGAAAUGCGCAGAUAUCGGGAGGAACACCAAUAGCGAAGGCAGCUCGCUGGGACGUUACUGACACUGAGGCGCGAAAGCGUGGGGAGCGAACAGG